rnacentral:tmRNA from 1 species
GGGGGUGCACUGGUUUCGACGGGGAUCGUCGGAGGUAUGGUAAGCGAGCCGCGGACCCUGGCCGCGUUAAAACGGGGAAAUUAAAAUUAACUGACAAUACUCAGUACGCUUUCGCUGCCUGAUAUGGCGGCGCGUCGACACUGAGCGCCUACGGCUCAGCCCACCGGCGUCAUUGAUGUAGGGAACGGGGGCAGGAGGGCCUCGGCCUGCCCCGGCUCAAGAGGCUACUGAACCCGCCAGCCCGGCAGAGGGCGUGCGGGAGAGGGAAUGUCAAAACCCUGCCUGCGCUCGGAGAAAACCAUGCAGCUGAAUCUUCGGACAGGAGUUCGAUUCUCCUCACCUCCAU